CCGAACGGGUCCACCGCCCAGCCCGACUCCGGAGUGACGCCCAGAUUCGUCUUCAGCCAUUGGUGACCUGGAAGAAGCACGUGGACGUAUCGCAGGGAGGGACUCCGAGCGCGUCCUGACGAAGGAAAUCGAAAAACCGCCGACCAUGGAGAACGAGGAGCCCUUCUCGAGGAUCGAGCAAGCUCUUUGCGGUGAUAUCUCGAACGAUAUCCCGGAUGGCGAUACCUUCUCCGAAAACGACCCAGGAGCUCAAAGGGGUGCUCGUCUCCAAGGAGAGACCCGAGAGUAUCGAGAAACUUUCAAGGAUGUCCAGGAUCGAGGGUAUCGACGCCGAGGACCGAGACGAGGUCGGGGGGUUUCGAUUCCCUGGAGGAAGGAGUAUCCGAAUCCGGAAUCCAAUCUUUCGGCGUGUCCGAGAAGCGAGCCUCGACGAGAUUUCCGCACGUUGGACGCGGCCUGGAAGCGUUUUCCGCGACCUACCGUGCCAUCCGUUUCCCGAGCUUUCCAAGGUCGAGCCAUUUGUCUCCCCCGGGUUCCUUUUCGCUUCCGGAGUGAACAACGCACCUUUCCCACCAAAGCGACAGGAAGGA